rnacentral:rRNA from 1 species
UGAUAAGAGACAGCAGCAGCCGCGGUAAUGCGAAGGGGGCUAGCGUUGUUCGGAAUCACUGGGCGUAAAGGGUGCGUAGGCGGAUUCUUAAGUCAGGGGUGAAAUCCCGAGGCUCAACCUCGGAACUGCCUUUGAUACUGGGGAUCUUGAGUCCGGAAGAGGUGAGUGGAACUGCGAGUGUAGAGGUGAAAUUCGUAGAUAUUCGCAAGAACACCGGUGGCGAAGGCGGCUCACUGGUCCGGAACUGACGCUGAGGCACGACAGCGUGGGGAGCAAACAGGAUUAGAUACCCGCGUAGUCCCUGUCUCUUAUAA